rnacentral:rRNA from 1 species
UACGUAGGGUGCAAGCGUUGUUCGGAAUUACUGGGCGUAAAGCGCGCGUAGGCGGGUUUGAAAGUCGAUUGUGAAAGCCCAGGGCUCAACCUUGGAAUUGCAGUCGAAACUUCAAAUCUUGAAUGUCUGAGAGGAUGGCGGAAUUCCCGGUGUAGUAGUGAAAUACGUAGAUAUCGGGAAGAACACCUGAGGCGAAGGCGGCUAUCUGGCGGUACAUUGACGCUGAGGUGCGAAAGCGUGGGGAGCAAACAGG